rnacentral:tRNA from 1 species
AGAUAUAACCUAUUAGUAAAGGGUUUCCUUUACCCUGAAAAUUUUUCUGUGCAAAUCAGGAUAUCUUGAU